rnacentral:rRNA from 1 species
AGCGAACGCUGGCGGCAGGCUUAACACAUGCAAGUCGAACGCCCCGCAAGGGGAGUGGCAGACGGGUGAGUAACACGUGGGAACGUACCCUUUGGUUCGGAAUAACUUUGGGAAACUCAAGCUAAUACCGGAUAAGCCCUUAUGGGGAAAGGUUUACUGCCGAAGGAUCGGCCCGCGUCUGAUUAGCUAGUUGGUGAGGUAAUGGCUCACCAAGGCGACGAUCAGUAGCUGGUCUGAGAGGAUGAUCACCCACGCUGGGACGGAGACACGGCCCAGACGCCUACGGGAGGCAGCAGUGGGCAAUAUUGGACAAUGGGGGCAACCCUGAUCCAGCCAGGCAGCGUGAGUGAUGAAGGCCUUAGGGUUGUAAAGCUCUUUUACCCGGGACGAUAAUGACUGUACCGGGAGAAUAAGCCCCGGCUAACUUCGUGCCAGCCGCCGCCGUAA